rnacentral:rRNA from 1 species
GACGAACCGUGCGAACGUUAUUCGGAAUCACUGGGCUUAAAGGGCGCGUAGGCGGGUCGUCAAGUCAGGGGUGAAAUCCCGCGGCUCAACCGCGGAAGUGCCUUUGAUACUGACGGCCUCGAGGGAGGUAGGGGCGUGUGGAACUUCCGGUGGAGCGGUGAAAUGCGUAGAUAUCGGAAGGAACGCCGGUGGCGAAAGCGACGCGCUGGACCUCUUCUGACGCUGAGGCGCGAAAGCCAGGGGAGCAAACGGG